UACGUAGGCAGCGAGCGUUGUUCGGAAUUACUGGGCGUAAAGAGUGUGUAGGCGGUGCUCUAAGUUCGGUGUGAAAUCUCCCGGCUUAACUGGGAGGGUGCGCCGGAAACUGGAGUGCUCGAGCGUGGGAGAGGAAAGCGGAAUUCCUGGUGUGGAGGUGAAAUUCGUAGAUAUCAGGAGGAACACCAGUGGCGAAGGCGGCUUUCUGGACGAUAACUGACGCUGAGACGCGAAAGCGUGGGGAGCAAACAGG
rnacentral:rRNA from 1 species